GGCUGGUCUGAAGGUAGCGAGUUAUCUCAGUGGAUUGUUCAGUCCGUUACAGAUCGACCUCCUUGUUCUACUCUUUCCCCCCUUCUCACUACUGCAUUUGACUAGUCGUCU
rnacentral:Y_RNA from 1 species